GCAACCCAAUGUAUAGAGAUAUACAUUACCUAUAUAGGAGCGAACGAGGGGAAUUGAAACAUCUUAGUACCCUCAGGAAAAGAAAUCAAUAGAGAUUGCGUCAGUAGCGGCGAGCGAAAGCGCAAGAGGGCAAACCCAGUGCUUGCACUGGGGGUUGUAGGACUGCAAUGUGCAAGAGGUAAGUUUAGCAGAACAUUCUGGAAAGUAUAACCAUAGAGGGUGAUAGUCCCGUAUGCGAAAAACAAACCUUAGCUAGCAGUAUCCUGAGUAGGGCGGGACACGAGGAAUCCUGUCUGAAUCCGGGUCGACCACGAUCCAACCCUAAAUACUAAUACCAGAUCGAUAGUGCACAAGUACCGUGAGGGAAAGGUGAAAAGAACUGAGGUGAUCAGAGUGAAAUAGAACCUGAAACCAUUUGCUUACAAUCAUUCAGAGCCCUAUGUAGCAAUACAGGGUGAUGGACUGCCUUUUGCAUAAUGAGCCUGCGAGUUGUGGUGUCUGGCAAGGUUAAGCAAACGCGAAGCCGUAGCGAAAGCGAGUCUGAAUAGGGCGCUUAGUCAGAUGCUGCAGACCCGAAACGAAGUGAUCUAUCCAUGAGCAAGUUGAAGCUAGUGUAAGAACUAGUGGAGGACUGAACCCAUAGGCGUUGAAAAGCCCCGGGAUGACUUGUGGAUAGGGGUGAAAGGCCAAUCAAACUUCGUGAUAGCUGGUUCUCUCCGAAAUAUAUUUAGGUAUAGCGUUGUGUCGUAAUAUAAGGGGGUAGAGCACUGAAUGGGCUAGGGCAUACACCAAUGUACCAAACCCUAUCAAACUCCGAAUACCUUAUAUGUAAUCACAGCAGUCAGGCGGCGAGUGAUAAAAUCCGUCGUCAAGAGGGAAACAACCCAGACUACCAGCUAAGGUCCCUAAAUCUUACUUAAGUGGAAAACGAUGUGAAGUUACUUAAACAACCAGGAGGUUGGCUUAGAAGCAGCCAUCCUUUAAAGAAAGCGUAAUAGCUCACUGGUCUAGUGAUUUUGCGCGGAAAAUAUAACGGGGCUAAAGUAAGUACCGAAGCUGUAGACUUGCACACAACUUAGAUUAUUUAAGUUUAGAAUAUGAGAAACUAAGUUAUAUGUUUAGUUAUAUUUUUACUGAUUUUUAUAGAGUAAAGAUAGAAAUAAAACUUAGUAAAAUCAGUAAAAAUAUUCUUAGACUAAAGUUAAGUAGUUUAAGUUGUGUGCAAGUGGUAGGAGAGCGUUCUAUUUGCGUCGAAGGUAUACCGGUAAGGAGUGCUGGAGCGAAUAGAAGUGAGCAUGCAGGCAUGAGUAGCGAUAAUUAAUGUGAGAAUCAUUAACGCCGUAAACCCAAGGUUUCCUACGCGAUGCUCGUCAUCGUAGGGUUAGUCGGGUCCUAAGUCGAGUCCGAAAGGGGUAGACGAUGGCAAAUUGGUUAAUAUUCCAAUACCAACAUUAGUGUGCGAUGGAAGGACGCUUAGGGCUAAGGGGGCUAGCGGAUGGAAGUGCUAGUCUAAGGUCGUAGGAGGUUGUACAGGCAAAUCCGUAUAACAAUACUCCGAGAACUGAAAGGCUUUUUGAAGUCUUCGGAUGGAUAGAAGAACCCCUGAUGCCGUCGAGCCAAGAAAAGUUUCUAAGUUUAGCUAAUGUUGCCCGUACCGUAAACCGACACAGGUGGGUGGGAUGAGUAUUCUAAGGCGCGUGGAAGAACUCUCUUUAAGGAACUCUGCAAAAUAGCACCGUAUCUUCGGUAUAAGGUGUGGUUAGCUUUGUAUUAGGAUUUACUCCGAAAGCAAGGAAACUUACAACAAAGAGUCCCUCCCGACUGUUUACCAAAAACACAGCACUCUGCUAACUCGUAAGAGGAUGUAUAGGGUGUGACGCCUGCCCGGUGCUCGAAGGUUAAUUGAUGGGGUUAGCAUUAGCGAAGCUCUUGAUCGAAGCCCGAGUAAACGGCGGCCGUAACUAUAACGGUCCUAAGGUAGCGAAAUUCCUUGUCGGUUAAAUACCGACCUGCAUGAAUGGCGUAACGAGAUGGGAGCUGUCUCAAAGAGGGAUCCAGUGAAAUUGUAGUGGAGGUGAAAAUUCCUCCUACCCGCGGCAAGACGGAAAGACCCCGUGGACCUUUACUACAGCUUGACACUGCUACUUGGAUAAGAAUGUGCAGGAUAGGUGGGAGGCUUUGAGUAUAUGACGCCAGUUGUAUAUGAGCCAUUGUUGAGAUACCACUCUUUCUUAUUUGGGUAGCUAACCAGCUUGAGUUAUCCUCAAGUGGGACAAUGUCUGGUGGGUAGUUUGACUGGGGCGGUCGCCUCCCAAAUAAUAACGGAGGCUUACAAAGGUUGGCUCAGAACGGUUGGAAAUCGUUCGUAGAGUAUAAAGGUAUAAGCCAGCUUAACUGCAAGACAUACAAGUCAAGCAGAGACGAAAGUCGGUCUUAGUGAUCCGGUGGUUCUGUGUGGAAGGGCCAUCGCUCAAAGGAUAAAAGGUACCCCGGGGAUAACAGGCUGAUCUCCCCCAAGAGCUCACAUCGACGGGGAGGUUUGGCACCUCGAUGUCGGCUCAUCGCAUCCUGGGGCUGGAGCAGGUCCCAAGGGUAUGGCUGUUCGCCAUUUAAAGCGGUACGCGAGCUGGGUUCAGAACGUCGUGAGACAGUUCGGUCCCUAUCUGCCGUGGGCGUAAGAAGAUUGAAGAGAUUUGACCCUAGUACGAGAGGACCGGGUUGAACAAACCACUGGUGUAGCUGUUGUUCUGCCAAGAGCAUCGCAGCGUAGCUAAGUUUGGAAAGGAUAAACGCUGAAAGCAUCUAAGCGUGAAGCCAACUCUAAGAUGAAUCUUCUCUAAGCUCUCUAGAAGACUACUAGUUUGAUAGGCUGGGUGUGUAAUGGAUGAAAGUCCUUUAGCUGACCAGUACUAAUAGAGCGUUUGGCUUAUCUUUAAUAAAGCAU
rnacentral:rRNA from 1 species